rnacentral:rRNA from 1 species
GGCGGCAGGCUUAACACAUGCAAGUCGAACGCAUCCUUCGGGGUGAGUGGCAGACGGGUGAGUAACACGUGGGAACGUACCCCUUUGUUCGGAAUAACCCUGGGAAACUAGGGCUAAUACCGGAUACGGCCGAGAGGCGAAAGGUUUACCGCAGAGGGAUCGGCCCGCGUCCGAUUAGCUUGUUGGUGAGGUAAUGGCUCACCAAGGCUUCGAUCGGUAGCUGGUCUGAGAGGAUGGCCAGCCACAUUGGGACUGAGACACGGCCCAAACUCCUACGGGAGGCAGCAGUGGGGAAUAUUGGACAAUGGGCGCAAGUCUGAUCCAGCCAUGCCGCGUGAGUGAUGACGGCCUUAGGGUUGUAAAGCUCUUUUACCUGGGAAGAUCAUGACGGUACCAGGAGAAUAAGCCCCGGCUAACUUCGUGCCAGCAGCCGCGGUAAUACGAAGGGGGCUAGCGUUGUUCGGAUUUACUGGGCGUAAAGGGCGCGUAGGCGGGCGAAUC